UACGAAGGGGGCUAGCGUUGCUCGGAAUCACUGGGCGUAAAGGGUGCGUAGGCGGGUCUUUAAGUCAGGGGGGAAAUCCUGGAGCUCAACUCCAGAACUGCCUUUGAUACUGAGGAUCUUGAGUUCGGGAGAGGUGAGUGGAACUGCGAGUGUAGAGGUGAAAUUCGUAGAUAUUCGCAAGAACACCAGUGGCGAAGGCGGCUCACUGGCCCGAUACUGACGCUGAGGCGCGAAAGCUAGGGGAGCAAACGGG
rnacentral:rRNA from 1 species